rnacentral:rRNA from 1 species
GACGAACGCUGGCGGCGUGCCUAAUACAUGCCAGUCGAACGCUGAAGGAGGAGCUUGCUUCUCCGGAUGAGUUGCGAACGGGUGAGUAACGCGUAGGUAACCUGCCUGGUAGCGGGGGAUAACUAUUGGAAACGGUAGCUAAUACCGCAUAAGAGUAGAUGUCGCAUGACAUUUGCUUAAAAGGUGCAACUGCACCACUACCAGAUGGACCUGCGUUGUAUUAGCUAGUUGGUGAGGUAACGGCUCACCAAGGCAACGAUACAUAGCCGACCGGAGAGGGGGAUCGGCCACACUGGGAAUGAGACACGGCCCAGACGCCUACGGGGGGCAGCAGUAGGGAAUCUUGGGCAAUGGACGGAAGUCUGACCGAGCAACGCCGCGUGAGGGAAGAAGGGUGUCGGAUCGUAAAGAUCUGUUGUAAGAGAAGAAAGAGGGUGAGAGUGGAAAGUUCACAGUGUGACGGUAGCUUAACAGAAAGGGACGGCUAACUACGUG